rnacentral:rRNA from 1 species
CCUACGGGCGGCAGCAGUGAGGAAUAUUGGUCAAUGGCCGUAAGGCUGAACCAGCCAAGCCGCGUGAAGGAUGAAGGUUCAAUGGAUUGUAAACUUCUUUUAUCGGGGAAUAAAGGUAUCCACGCGUGGCCGUUUGCAUGUACCUUAUGAAUAAGCAUCGGCUAACUCCGUGCCAGCAGCCGCGGUAAUACGGAGGAUGCGAGCGUUAUCCGGAUUUAUUGGGUUUAAAGGGUGCGUAGGUUGUUUUUUAAGUCAGCGGUGAAAGUCUGUGGCUCAACCAUAGAAGUGCCGUUGAAACUGGCAGACUUGAGUGGGUGUGAGGUAGGCGGAAUGCGUGGUGUAGCGGUGAAAUGCAUAGAUAUCACGCAGAACUCCGAUUGCGAAGGCAGCAUACCAAGCCAUAACUGACGCUGAGGCACGAAAGCGUGGGUAUCAAACAGGAUUAGAUACCCCAGUAGUC